AAUUGGUAUUUAUUACCAUUAAAUUGAUCAAUCUAGCAAGACUGCCGCGAUUAUCGCGGAGGAAGGUGGGGAUGACGUCAAAUCAUCAUGCCCCUUAUGUCUAGGGAUACACACGUGUUACAAUGGGGAGUACAAAAAGACGCAAAGCCGUGAGGCGGAGCAAAUUUAAAGAAACUUCCCCCAGUUCGGAUUGUAGGCUGAAACUCGCCUACAUGAAGCUGGAGUUGCUAGUAAUCGCGAUUCUUUAUUGUAGCGGUGAAUACGUUCCCGGGCCUUGUACACACCCCCCGUCUCUCCAUGAGAGUUGCCAACACCCGAAGUCCAUAGUCUAACCGUAAGGGGGACGUGGCCGAAAAGGUUGUGG
rnacentral:rRNA from 1 species